AACGAACGCUGGCGGCAGGCCUAAAACAUGCAAGUCGAGCGCCCAGCAAUGGGAGCGGCGGACGGGUGAGUAACACGUGGGAAUGUACCUUUCGGUGCGGAACAACUCAGGGAAACUUGAGCUAAUGCCGCAUACGCCUUUACGGGGAAAGAUUUAUCGCCGCAAGAUCAGCCCGCGUUGGAUUAGCUUGUUGGUGAGGUAAUGGCUCACCAAGGCGACGAUCCAUAGCUGGUUUGAGAGAACGACCAGCCACACUGGGACUGAGACACGGCCCAGACUCCUACGGGAGGCAGCGGUUGGGAAUCUUGGACAAUGGGGGAAACCCUGAUCCAGCCAUGCCGCGUGAGUGAUGAAGGCCUUCGGGUUGUAAAACUCUUUCGACGGGGACGAUAAUGACGGUACCCGUAGAAGAAGCUCCGGCUAACUUCGUGCCAGCCGCCGCCGUAA
rnacentral:rRNA from 1 species